UUAUCGUAGAUCUCCUUCAAGACCCCUCUCUUGAUCAGCUCCUCUCUGCUCUGCCUCAUCGAAAUCUUCCUUUCCAGAGCUGCAAGCAAGAGCCAGAGAGAGAGGCAAAUGAGAACGAUAACCAUCAUCUUUCUCCUCACUCCCAAAGGACCCACAUGGUAACAGAUACUGCGAUCUACUAAAAGAGCCCAUGAGUUAUGUUUUGCUAAUGAUGCGCUAUGUGGAGAGGUGGUCCAGAGACGUUCCCUGGCCUCUUCGGCCUAACGCUGAGCUGCUCAGAGACUCACAGCACAAGUGACAAUCUUUAUCUGUUGAAGGCCCUGUUCAACUGUCUUUAAAUUGCACUCUGAAGGGAAGAAAGCCACUGAGAAGUGAAGAACCGUGUAGUAGUCAUGCAUACUCUUCUACCGCCAUUCUCCAAAAGAGUCGACUCACAAUUAAAAUCUGUAGCUUUGAUCCUUUUUGAAUCGUCCAGCUCCAGGUAAAUAGUGAUGCAAAUUAUUAGAUCGCUGUACCUCAGUGUGAGCGGAGGUUGUUGCUGGGACUCCCAGAUUUCACACCAUCAUGAAAAUGAAUGGUACUGCUGAAGACACUGCACACUUCAGUCAGAAGACAUAGUGAAGCUGAUCUGGAGGCUGAUCUUCAUAUCAGCUAGCAAGCAUUGUACCAGAAGGUACUUACUAUGCAGGCUGCUGGUGGAGAAACACAAUCGGCAGUUUUACUCAUCUGUGAAUUCUGUGAGCUACAGUAAU
rnacentral:lncRNA from 1 species